UUUCCGUAGGUGAACCUGCGGAAGGAUCAUUACAUUCAGUAGCCCAGCUACUUGUUUACACCCUUGUUUUUUUGCGUACCUAUCGUUUCCUCGGCGGGCUUGCCUGCCAAUGGGGACCACUUUAAAACCUUUUAUGUAUGCAGUAAACGUCUACAAAUAAAUGAAAUCAAAACUUUCAACAACGGAUCUCUUGGUUCUGGCAUCGAUGAAGAACGCAGC
rnacentral:misc_RNA from 1 species